CAGGUAAUAGUUUAUUUAAAAUUUUAACUUUGGGAGUUAAAGAUCGAGAACUCUCGUUACCUGA
rnacentral:tRNA from 1 species